GACGAACGCUGGCGGCGUGCCUAAUACAUGCAAGUUGAGCGCUGAAGGUUGGUACUUGUACCAACUGGAUGAGCAGCGAACGGGUGAGUAACGCGUGGGGAAUCUGCCUUUGAGCGGGGGACAACAUUUGGAAACGAAUGCUAAUACCGCAUAAAAACUUUAAACACAAGUUUUAAGUUUGAAAGAUGCAAUUGCAUCACUCAAAGAUGAUCCCGCGUUGUAUUAGCUAGUUGGUGAGGUAAAGGCUCACCAAGGCGAUGAUACAUAGCCGACCUGAGAGGGUGAUCGGCCACAUUGGGACUGAGACACGGCCCAAACUCCUACGGGAGGCAGCAGUAGGGAAUCUUCGGCAAUGGACGAAAGUCUGACCGAGCAACGCCGCGUGAGUGAAGAAGGUUUUCGGAUCGUAAAACUCUGUUGGUAGAGAAGAACGUCGGUGGGAGUGGAAAGCUCAUCAAGUGACGGUAACUACCCAGAAAGGGACGGCUAACUACGUG
rnacentral:rRNA from 1 species